UUUUGAAGCGCCAGUCGCGUAGGGCAACCGGGCCAGGCCGAGUCAGAAAGGCUUUGAUGACUCAAGGUUCAUAUUAGGGAAAGGAGAGUGAGGGGAAGAGGGGGCAGCCCUCGGCCCGAUCAUCCAAUUCGCUCCAACAGACAGGCUAUGGGAUAAUUAACACCUUCCUCUUGCAUAAGAUUGGACAUAUGAGGCGUAAACAUCAUAUAUGAGAGUCAAGCGUGGACGACAAAACACAAGCGCACAAUAUUGGAUAAACCCAAACAAUUGAUGGGUCAGGCUGUUAUAUUCACCAUCAAAGGACGAGGGGGCAACCCUUGGCCCGAUCAUCCAAUUCGCUCCAACAGACAGGCUAUGGGAUAAUUAACACCUUCCUCUUGCAUAAGAUUGGACAUAUGAGGCGUAAACAUCAUAUAUGAGAGUCAAGCGUGGACGACAAAACACAAGCGCACAAUAUUGGAUAAACCCAAACAAUUGAUGGGUCAGGCUGUUAUAUUCACCAUCAAGCUUUUGUGUUACUGUGUUUGUGAUACUAUUAGCCAAUUUCCUAGGGCAAAAUUUACAAUGUCUUUUACAUAUUUAUUCCACAACGUGUUUGGGUAUUAUAACUAGCCUUGUUGCUCAUAUCACUAAUGCAGUGCAAUUAGUGAGGAAGUCAAACCUGGACUAAUUAAAUCUGGGAUCUGAUGCAAUUACAUAAUUAAUGGAGUGUUUAAGAAAUCUGCAAUAGAUCUAUGAAAAAUAAUUAAAUUUCUGUGUGCUGUUAUUAAUUAUAGUAUGAUUAAAGGUCUAACAGUCAACUUAAUUUGUUUUUUGAUGCACGAUGCAUUAGAAAAAAUAAUUAGGGUUUAAAUUUGUUAACUUUUUGACAGGUUGAUCAAAUAUUGGGUGCAUGGUCACCACAUCUUGUAAUAAUAUAAUGGAAGGUACAAGUGAAA
rnacentral:lncRNA from 1 species